rnacentral:rRNA from 1 species
UUAAGCGACUAAGCGUACACGGUGGAUGCCCUGGCAGUCAGAGGCGAUGAAGGACGUGCUAAUCUGCGAUAAGCGUCGGUAAGGUGAUAUGAACCGUUAUAACCGGCGAUUUCCGAAUGGGGAAACCCAGUGUGUUUCGACACACUAUCAUUAACUGAAUCCAUAGGUUAAUGAGGCGAACCGGGGGAACUGAAACAUCUAAGUACCCCGAGGAAAAGAAAUCAACCGAGAUUCCCCCAGUAGCGGCGAGCGAACGGGGAGCAGCCCAGAGCCUGAAUCAGUGUGUGUGUUAGUGGAAGCGUCUGGAAAGGCGCGCGAUACAGGGUGACAGCCCCGUACACAAAAAUGCACAUGCUGUGAGCUCGAUGAGUAGGGCGGGACACGUGGUAUCCUGUCUGAAUAUGGGGGGACCAUCCUCCAAGGCUAAAUACUCCUGACUGACCGAUAGUGAACCAGUACCGUGAGGGAAAGGCGAAAAGAACCCCGGCGAGGGGAGUGAAAAAGAACCUGAAACCGUGUACGUACAAGCAGUGGGAGCCUCUUUUAUGGGGUGACUGCGUACCUUUUGUAUAAUGGGUCAGCGACUUAUAUUCUGUAGCAAGGUUAACCGAAUAGGGGAGCCGAAGGGAAACCGAGUCUUAACUGGGCGUUAAGUUGCAGGGUAUAGACCCGAAACCCGGUGAUCUAGCCAUGGGCAGGUUGAAGGUUGGGUAACACUAACUGGAGGACCGAACCGACUAACGUUGAAAAAUUAGCGGAUGACUUGUGGCUGGGGGUGAAAGGCCAAUCAAACCGGGAGAUAGCUGGUUCUCCCCGAAAGCUAUUUAGGUAGCGCCUCGUGAAUUCAUCUCCGGGGGUAGAGCACUGUUUCGGCAAGGGGGUCAUCCCGACUUACCAACCCGAUGCAAACUGCGAAUACCGGAGAAUGUUAUCACGGGAGACACACGGCGGGUGCUAACGUCCGUCGUGAAGAGGGAAACAACCCAGACCGCCAGCUAAGGUCCCAAAGUCAUGGUUAAGUGGGAAACGAUGUGGGAAGGCCCAGACAGCCAGGAUGUUGGCUUAGAAGCAGCCAUCAUUUAAAGAAAGCGUAAUAGCUCACUGGUCGAGUCGGCCUGCGCGGAAGAUGUAACGGGGCUAAACCAUGCACCGAAGCUGCAGCAGCGACGCUGAUGCGUUGUUGGGUAGGGGAGCGUUCUGUAAGCCUGUGAAGGUGUGCUGUGAGGCAUGCUGGAGGUAUCAGAAGUGCGAAUGCUGACAUAAGUAACGAUAAAGCGGGUGAAAAGCCCGCUCGCCGGAAGACCAAGGGUUCCUGUCCAACGUUAAUCGGGGCAGGGUGAGUCGACCCCUAAGGCGAGGCCGAAAGGCGUAGUCGAUGGGAAACAGGUUAAUAUUCCUGUACUUGGUGUUACUGCGAAGGGGGGACGGAGAAGGCUAUGUUGGCCGGGCGACGGUUGUCCCGGUUUAAGCGUGUAGGCUGGUUUUCCAGGCAAAUCCGGAAAAUCAAGGCUGAGGCGUGAUGACGAGGCACUACGGUGCUGAAGCAACAAAUGCCCUGCUUCCAGGAAAAGCCUCUAAGCAUCAGGUAACAUCAAAUCGUACCCCAAACCGACACAGGUGGUCAGGUAGAGAAUACCAAGGCGCUUGAGAGAACUCGGGUGAAGGAACUAGGCAAAAUGGUGCCGUAACUUCGGGAGAAGGCACGCUGAUAUGUAGGUGAAGUCCCUUGCGGAUGGAGCUGAAAUCAGUCGAAGAUACCAGCUGGCUGCAACUGUUUAUUAAAAACACAGCACUGUGCAAACACGAAAGUGGACGUAUACGGUGUGACGCCUGCCCGGUGCCGGAAGGUUAAUUGAUGGGGUCAGCGCAAGCGAAGCUCUUGAUCGAAGCCCCGGUAAACGGCGGCCGUAACUAUAACGGUCCUAAGGUAGCGAAAUUCCUUGUCGGGUAAGUUCCGACCUGCACGAAUGGCGUAAUGAUGGCCAGGCUGUCUCCACCCGAGACUCAGUGAAAUUGAACUCGCUGUGAAGAUGCAGUGUACCCGCGGCAAGACGGAAAGACCCCGUGAACCUUUACUAUAGCUUGACACUGAACAUUGAGCCUUGAUGUGUAGGAUAGGUGGGAGGCUUAGAAGUGUGGACGCCAGUCUGCAUGGAGCCGACCUUGAAAUACCACCCUUUAAUGUUUGAUGUUCUAACGUUGACCCGUAAUCCGGGUUGCGGACAGUGUCUGGUGGGUAGUUUGACUGGGGCGGUCUCCUCCUAAAGAGUAACGGAGGAGCACGAAGGUUGGCUAAUCCUGGUCGGACAUCAGGAGGUUAGUGCAAUGGCAUAAGCCAGCUUGACUGCGAGCGUGACGGCGCGAGCAGGUGCGAAAGCAGGUCAUAGUGAUCCGGUGGUUCUGAAUGGAAGGGCCAUCGCUCAACGGAUAAAAGGUACUCCGGGGAUAACAGGCUGAUACCGCCCAAGAGUUCAUAUCGACGGCGGUGUUUGGCACCUCGAUGUCGGCUCAUCACAUCCUGGGGCUGAAGUAGGUCCCAAGGGUAUGGCUGUUCGCCAUUUAAAGUGGUACGCGAGCUGGGUUUAGAACGUCGUGAGACAGUUCGGUCCCUAUCUGCCGUGGGCGCUGGAGAACUGAGGGGGGCUGCUCCUAGUACGAGAGGACCGGAGUGGACGCAUCACUGGUGUUCGGGUUGUCAUGCCAAUGGCACUGCCCGGUAGCUAAAUGCGGAAGAGAUAAGUGCUGAAAGCAUCUAAGCACGAAACUUGCCCCGAGAUGAGUUCUCCCUGACUCCUUGAGAGUCAUGAAGGAACGUUGAAGACGACGACGUUGAUAGGCCGGGUGUGUAAGCGCAGCGAUGCGUUGAGCUAACCGGUACUAAUGAACCGUGAGGCUUAACCUU